CAGUCGCCGCGGGAAUACGGAGGGUGCAAGCGUUAAUCGGAAUUACUGGGCGUAAAGCGCACGCAGGCGGUCUGUCAAGUCAGAUGUGAAAUCCCCGGGCUUAACCUGGGAACUGCAUUUGAAACUGGCAGGCUAGAGUCUUGUAGAGGGGGGUAGAAUUCCAGGUGUAGCGGUGAAAUGCGUAGAGAUCUGGAGGAAUACCGGUGGCGAAGGCGGCCCCCUGGACAAAGACUGACGCUCAGGUGCGAAAGCGUGGGGAGCGAACAGGAUUAGAUACCCCUGUAGUCCCUGUCUCUUAUAA
rnacentral:rRNA from 1 species